rnacentral:rRNA from 1 species
AACGAACGCUGGCGGCAUGCCUAACACAUGCAAGUCGAACGAUACCUUCGGGUAUAGUGGCGCACGGGUGCGUAACGCCUGAGAACCUGCCCUUAGGUUCGGAAUAGCCUGCCGGAAGGGGUUCUCAUACCGGAUAAUGUCUUCGGACCAAAGAUUUAUCCCCUUUGGAUGAGCCCGCGUUGGAUUAGCUAGUUGGUAGGGUAAACGCCUACCAAGGCGACGAUCCAUAGCUGGUCUGAGAGGAUGAGCAGCCACACUGGGACUGAGACACGGCCCAGACUCCUACGGGAGGCAGCAGUGGGGAAUAUUGGACAAUGGGCGAAAGCCUGAUCCAGCAAUGCCGCGUGAGUGAUGAAGGCCUUAGGGUUGUAAAGCUCUUUUACCCGGGAUGAUAAUGACAGUACCGGGAGAAUAAGCUCCGGCUAACUCCGUG